ACCGGGGCUAAUGCCGGGUAAUACUUUCUUUCGCAUGAAGGAAAGUUGAAAGAUGGCUUCUCGCUAUCACUUACAGAUGGGCCCGCGGCGCAUUAGCUAGUUGGUGAGGUAACGGCUCACCAAGGCGACGAUGCGUAGCCGACCUGAGAGGGUGAUCGGCCACACUGGGACUGAGACACGGCCCAGACUCCUACGGGAGGCAGCAGUAGGGAAUCUUCCGCAAUGGACGAAAGUCUGACGGAGCAACGCCGCGUGAACGAUGAAGGUCUUCGGAUCGUAAAGUUCUGUUGUUAGGGAAGAACAAGUACCGUGCGAAUAGAGCGGUACCUUGACGGUACCUAACGAGGAAGCCCCGGCUAACUACGUGCCAGCAGCCGCGGUAAUACGUAGGGGGCAAGCGUUGUCCGGAAUUAUUGGGCGUAAAGCGCGCGCAGGCGGUUCCUUAAGUCUGAUGUGAAAGCCCACGGCUCAACCGUGGAGGGUCAUUGGAAACUGGGGAACUUGAGGACAGAAGAGGAGAGUGGAAUUCCACGUGUAGCGGUGAAAUGCGUAGAUAUGUGGAGGAACACCAGUGGCGAAGGCGACUCUCUGGUCUGUUUCUGACGCUGAGGUGCGAAAGCGUGGGUAGCAAACAGGAUUAGAUACCCUGGUAGUCCACGCCGUAAACGA
rnacentral:rRNA from 1 species